AUGUCAGUUACAGCAGAUCUGGGGGGAGGAAAGGAGGGGUGGGGCGGAGGGAGGAGAGAGGGGAGGAGUGGAGGGGGAGGGGAGGGAGAGCAGGCAGGGGACCCCGGGGCCUGCCUCCACCCCGGGCUGGCGCCCCUGCCCUGCCCAGCUGAUCAUCAUAUUGUUUCAGAGGACGGCGGGGAAGCAGAAACAAAAGAAGGAGGUUUGCUGAAACAGCCCAGAAUAUUACAGCGGGAGAAGCAGUUAAUGGGACUGGAUGCCAAUGAGCCUCCCCAAUAUUCUGAUUUCCCGGGAGAAACUCGGCCGGCCUCCCGGGACCCGGAGGGAGUGGGGACGAGACGGGCUGCUUGCUUGUGCGUGCCUUGCCGGACCGGUUCUGUUCGUUCUGAGAAGAGACUCGUCCAAGUGACCAUCCGGUCCACGUGGUCCCCGAAGGUCCAGGAGGAAGCUGGUCCGCCGGCGACUAUGUCAAUCACGGCUCCACGUGCCUGCCACCACGCGCCGCGCUUAGAGACCCAUAUGGACCUUCCCGUCAGGCUGGGACAGACUUAAAUUAUGACACUUUUCAUCUUGAUUGACAAUAACCUUCCCCUGGAAGUUGGGGAACAGCCCAGCUACAAUUACGUCUUGUACAAUAAAAUGAAGGAAAUAAUUUUAUGAUUCA
rnacentral:lncRNA from 1 species